UGCCCGGUGGUGUAAUGGUAGCACACGAGAAUUUGGGUCUCGGCGUCAAGGUUCGAAUCCUUGCUGGGCAACCA
rnacentral:tRNA from 1 species